UUUCCGUAGGUGAACCUGCGGAAGGAUCAUUAAAAAAUUGGACUCCAUUGGUGAGUUCAUUAAUAAUCCUACCCUUUGUGAAUUUGUUUGUUUGAAUAAUUUUUUUUCCAAAAAAAAUUAUUGAAUGUCUUUCCCUGUUUUGGUGGAGCUUGUAAAGUGAAACCAGGCAGGGGAAUGGCAAACAAUAAUUAUUUUUGGAAAAGACCUUUUUUAAAAUUAAACUUUUUGUAUUCAUUUGUCUAAAAUUAUUUUUAUAAUAUAAAAACAACUUUUGACAAUGGAUCUCUUGGUUCUCGCAACGAUGGAGAACGCAGCAAAAUGCGAUAAGUAGUGUGAAUUGCAGAAUACGUGAAUCAUCGAAUCUUCGAACGCAUAUUGCACUUUUUUAGUUUACUAAAAAAGUAUGUCUGUUUGAGUAUCAGUAAAAUAUUCUCAUAAAAAAUUUAUUUUUUAUGGUUAUGAGUGUUUUACAACGAUAACAAGUUGUUUCACUUUAAAUUCUUUGUUAUCAAAAAAAUCAUUAAAAGCUAAUUUUAAAGAUUUUUUAAAAUUGGAUAAAAUUUUCCCGUAAAAAGGAAUAACCUAAACAAUUUUAAAAAAUUAAAAUUGGUUUGAUUUUUCUUGAUUUAAAAAGGAAAAAAAAGUAAAAAUUAACUUGAUCUCAAAUCAGAUAAGAGUACCCGCUGAACUUAAGCAUAUCAAUAAGCGGAGGAAAAGAAACUAACUAGGAUUCCCUCAGUAACGGCGAGUGAAGCGGGAAGAGCUCAAAUUUGAAAUCUUCAAGGUUUUACCUUGACGAAUUGUAGUUUAAAGAAGUGUUUUCUGUUGGAGUUUUGGUAAAAGUUCUUUGGAAAAGGACAUCAUAGAGGGUGAGAAUCCCGUAUUUGACCAUUAUCUCCAGCUUUGUGAUACACUUUCAAAGAGUCGGAUUGUUUGGGAAUGCAGUCCAAAAUGGGUGGUAAAUUUCAUCUAAAGCUAAAUACUGGCGAGAGACCGAUAGCGAACAAGUACCGUGAGGGAAAGAUGAAAAGAACUUUGAAAAGAGAGUUAAACAGUACGUGAAAUUGUCAAAAGGGAAGCGUUUGACACCAGUGUUGUUUUCUCGAAAAUCAAUUAAAAAAGGCCGGAUUUUGUGUUGUAUUGACUUUAUCAGCUUUCUGCACUUUUUUCUUGUCUUUUUUAAUGCACUUUUCGUUUAACAAGUCAACAUCAAUUUCUUUUGUUGUAAAAGGGUCAUUGGAAGGUGGCUUUCUUUUCGGAGAAAGUGUUUAUAGCCUUUGGCCUCUGCAAUCGGAGAGAUUGAGGUCUGCAGCGUAGAUCCUUCGGGGUUAGAUACAUUUGUGCUAAGUUAUAGCCUUUCAUAGACAACUUGUUGACUAUGAUCAGUCAUGUAGCUUACUCGCUUAUGCUAUUUUACCUACGCUUAGGAUGUUG
rnacentral:misc_RNA from 1 species